CGCGGAGGCUUGGGUUUCACGUAGGCUGGGAGAGAUUACAACCAGGGGAGUGGCCCUUCGGUGUGACCUGUCUGGCUUCUUAGUCAUUGUUGGCUCUCCUGCAGCAGUGGGAGCCAGCCUGACCUAUCCUCUUAUUCCCGGUGUUUCCCACUGUACAUGGUUGUGGUAGGCGCUCAAAGUUUCCUGAGGCAAGGACAUCUAUCUGAUCGACACCUGUCUGUGAGGCUCGGCGGAAGGCACCCUCCCCUGUUCUCAGGCCUGAAUCCACCGCUUUGCACACCUGCUGAGGGGAAAAGUGUGCAAGACCCGCAAUGCACGAGAGCGACCACACGUGGUCCCCCAUGGAGCGCCCAGACCUCCUGCCAGACGCACCAGGGGGAGCAGACGGGACAGAGGGGACCCCUCGGCGGGUCCGUCAUGUUCCAAACGCCACGGUCCACAGCAGGCGAUGCUAGGGAUUUCCUGGUCACCGCCAGGCACGUGACCUUGGUCCACAGAGAGCACACGUGGGCAUAAACCAAGAUCACGUUGGAACUGCUUGUGACAUUUACUGAUGUAAUCAUUAUUAAUUAAUGAGCCACCCAGAGGAAAACCAGAGGGAAGAGGAGGAGGGGCGGUGGGGACGCUGCAUGGAGCCCCGAAGGUGAGACCCUGGCCCUUUAUGGACAUUCUGGCCGUCUGGUCACCUGAGCUCUUCAGGGCCCUGUCCUGCGGCCAGGCUGGAGUUCGGGAGCGGGGUGGUGGCCCGGGCCGGGAACUCAGGCUGGGCACACUGGGCUGGGCAGCACGUGGCCGCCCGGGGCUCUUCCUCCCUGGUAACCGGGGUCCCGGCGACGAGGUCGGCUUGCCGCUCCCUGAUGGCUCAGCGGGUCCCCGGGUCCCCGAUGACGCUGAGUUGCCUGCGGGCCUCCACGUGGGCCACACAGGGGGCGUGGGGACCUGCCCCCUGACACUCUGCUCGGCCAGGCCACGGCUCAGGGCCCCCGCACCUGGGCAACACUCCUGAAGCUCUCACCUCUCAGCCUUAUUUGACUUUCUUCUUUCUCGAGGACACUGCACUGAACAUGGGGCUCGACCUCUUGACCCCAUGAUGAGAGGUCACAGGCCGGACCACCAGCCACCCAGCCUCCCCCUUCUGGGGGCUCUCAGAAGUCUGCUGGGGUGGCUGCACCUGGCGGGUGCCACCAGAGCCUGGCCGAGGCCCCGAUGACCCCUGCCCCCACGCUGCCCCCUCCAGGCUCCCCAGCCCCGCCUCUCCUCUCUGCCAGGGAGCUCUGGGCAGCUUGUGGACCCGGACCCCAGGGGCGUCCCAAGGCCAGGCCCGCGCCAGGAGGCUCAGCCCCGGGUGGGAUGUCGCAGCUCCCGGAGGACACAGCUCCCGCACGAGUCACAGUGUGUCACCCCUCCGCACGGCGGCAACAGAAUUUGAGUGUCGGGUCAGAUGACGUUGAACCUUUAAGGACCGAAGAACAAUGUGCGCAGACAGCAAGAUGCGGGGCAGGAAGGACCCUUGGGCCUCGGGCGGCCUUCCCUGCUGUCCUAGGUGGGCGGGAAGGGGGCGCAGGAGGCCGUCCAGGCCUGACUCAAUCGGCUGAUUUGAGACAAAGAGUAGUUUUUCUUUCGAGGCGUCUUUUCCAUUUGUAAAUUCAUUUUUCAAAAUGCCACCAACAGUGCCAGGAGAAGCAGGGAACGCGAUGUUGCCCACAUGGAGGCCUACAGGGGACGGCCCAGCGGGAGGGGACGGAGGAGGCCGCGGGCUUCCUGGGAAAGGGGAAGCUAAGUUCACCAGGAUGGGGAUCUUCUGGAAUUCUUUGUCCCUCUUGGCAGGUCCUAGGAAGUCCUUCCCUUGUGCUCUCACGGGCUCAUUUCAUUUCCUAAGGUGAGGAAUUACCUUUCAAAAAGUCAACAAUGUAGAUAAAUACAAGCCAAUAUAGAGUACUCAAAACAAAUCAUAUCGUUUUUCAUCUGC